UGGGGAAUUUUGGACAAUGGGCGAAAGCCUGAUCCAGCAAUGCCGCGUGUGUGAAGAAGGCCUUCGGGUUGUAAAGCACUUUUGUCCGGAAAGAAAUCCUUGGCUCUAAUACAGUCGGGGGAUGACGGUACCGGAAGAAUAAGCACCGGCUAACUACGUGCCAGCAGCCGCGGUAAUACGUAGGGUGCAAGCGUUAAUCAGAAUUACUGGGCGUAAAGCGUGCGCAGGCGGUUUGCUAAGACCGAUGUGAAAUCCCCGGGCUCAACCUGGGAACUGCAUUGGUGACUGGCAGGCUAGAGUAUGGCAGAGGGGGGUAGAAUUCCACGUGUAGCAGUGAAAUGCGUAGAGAUGUGGAGGAAUACCGAUGGCGAAGGCAGCCCCCUGGGCCAAUACUGACGCUCAUGCACGAAAGCGUGGGGAGCAAACAGGAUUAGAUACCCUGGUAGUCCACGCCCUAAAACGAUGUCAACUAGUUGUUGGGGAUUCAUUUCCUUAGUAACGUAGCUAACGCGUGAAGUUGGCCGCCUGGGGAGUACGGUCGCAAGAUUAAAAACUCAAAGGAAUUGACGGGGUCAUAGCUGUUUCCU
rnacentral:rRNA from 1 species